UGGGGAAUAUUGGUCAAUGGGCGCAAGCCUGAUCCAGCCAUGCCGCGUGAGUGAUGAAGGCCCUAGGGGUGUAAAGCUCUUUCACCGGUGAAGAUAAUGACGGUAACCGGAGAAGAAGCCCCGGCUAACUUCGUGCCAGCAGCCGCGGUAAUACGAAGGGGGCUAGCGUUGUUCGGAUUUACUGGGCGUAAAGCGCACGUAGGCGGACUUUUAAGUCAGGGGUGAAAUCCCGGGGCUCAACCCCGGAACUGCCUUUGAUACUGGAAGUCUUGAGUAUGGUAGAGGUGAGUGGAAUUCCGAGUGUAGAGGUGAAAUUCGUAGAUAUUCGGAGGAACACCAGUGGCGAAGGCGGCUCACUGGACCAUUACUGACGCUGAGGUGCGAAAGCGUGGGGAGCAAACAGG
rnacentral:rRNA from 1 species